AUUAAACAAAUGAAUUCAAAGCACUCAAAUAGCUGGGAUCUUCAAAGUGACAAGGACCUCAUCCCCGGGCCCAGGGCAGGCUGGCACUGCCAAGGGAACAUUUCCUGCAGUGGUGGAGCCGCUCACAGGGAGCGAGCAGGGGAGGGAAGCCAUGGACAGAGCACAGGAUGGCCAGGGAAGGGGCAGCAGCAGCUCCAGCCCUGCUGCACCCUCUGGGGACACAGGACAGACCAGGAAGGAGAUGUGACAGUUCCCAGCCUGAGAACCUUUCCCUGGGGAAGCCUCCUGUGCUGUCACUGCUUUCC
rnacentral:lncRNA from 1 species